AUGUUCCUUCUUCUGGUGCUUCUCACUGGACUUGGUGGGAUGCAUGCAGACCUCAAUCCUCAUAAAAUCUUCCUGCAGACCACAAUUCCAGAGAAGAUUUCAUCAUCGGAUGCAAAAACAGAUCCAGAACAUAAUGUUAUUUACAUGAUUACCAUAGAAGGAAAGCCAUAUUUUGUCCAUCUCAAAAAGCAAUCAAUUUUAUCUUCAGCUUCUGUUAUUAAUUCUUAUGACGAAAAUGACAUCCGUCAUUCCAAACCUCUGCUAGUUCAGAUGGAUUGCAAUUAUAAUGGAUAUGUUGUGGGUAUUCCAAAUUCUCUUGUGACUCUCAGCAUAUGUUCAGGACUCAGGGGAACAAUGCAGCUGAAAAACAUCUCAUAUGGAAUUGAACCGAUAGAGGCUGUAUCAGGAUUUAUACACAAGAUUUAUGAAGAAAAAUAUGCUGACACUAAUAUUCUCUUAGAAGAAAAUGACACUUAUACUUGGUUUAAUUCAGAGUAUCAAGUCAGAAAAAGUUCAGAAAAAACUGACUUUAUUAAGUUAUUCUCUCGAUAUAUUGAAAUGCAUAUUGUUGUGGACAAAAAUUUGUUCAAACCGGCUAAUACGAUUUAUAGGAAAUCAGUUGAUAAAGAAUGCGAUUUCACUGACUAUUACAAUGGGGACCUUCCAUACUGUUUGCCUGACACUUAUGUACGUGAUGGAGAAUAUUGUGAUUCAGAUGGAGCCUUCUGUUUUCAAGGAAAGUGUUGGACUUUUGACAAACAAUGUGAUGAUUUAAUUGGAAGAGGUUCAAGAGGUGCUCCAAUUUUCUGUUAUGAUGAAAUUAAUACCAGAGGAGACAAUUUUGGAAACUGUGGCACUGCACAUUGUCUUUUCCAACAUAUUCUAUGUGCAAAAUUAUUCUGUACAUGGGAACACAGAGACUUAAUAUCACGUCCAAAUUUAUCUGUGAUUUAUGCACAUGUAGGAGACCAAACAUGUGUGUCUAUAUACCUACCCAGGAGGACGCCACCUCCAGUAAAUUCACCUAUUUCAAUCACAUCAUAUUAUUCAGCUGAAGACAGAGAUGAAACAUUUGUACAAGAUGGUUCCAUGUGUGGUCCUGAUAUGUAUUGUUUCGAAAUGCAUUGUAAACAUGUUAGAUUCCUGAUGAAUUUAAAAUUGUGUGAUGCUUCUAAUCAUUGUGAUCGUCAUGGAGUUUGUAACAAUUUUAACCAUUGCCAUUGUGAAAAGGGAUAUAAUCCUCCUUACUGCCAACCAAAGCAAGGAGCAUUUGGAAGUAUUGAUGAUGGACACUUAGUACCACCAACUG
rnacentral:sRNA from 1 species